UCAAGAUGAGCAUCAGCCUUUCGUGGACAGGCUCCAGCAGGACUCGGGAAGCGAGGAGCCGCCGUGCUCAGCCAGCAUGGGCGGUGCUUUCAUCCCAGCCAGCGCUUCCAGCGCGGCCUCCCCGAGCGAUCGCACACGAGGGCUUUGAAAUGCGCUCCUCGGGAAAACCUGUGCCAAGAAAACUCCUUCUCCUGGCUCUUUUGCAGCAAGCAACCUCCGAUAGGGAUCGCCGAGAAUAAAGUCACUUCAUUUACAAACCGGGGAGCCGGAUCUGAUAGACAUCAACAUUCGAGGGGGGAAAGGAAAGGAACGGAGGAGACGGAUUUCUUUGUGAAGCCGAGAUGCUUCAGGGAGCGGAGGCUGAGAUGCAAUUUUGGGGGCGGGAGAGUUUCCAUGUGCCCCAGCAGCCAAGUUGCCUUUUCCCCACCUCCCACUGCAAGAUGAGCACCCCGGGGUCGAACACAGGAGCAAAUCACAAAGCACCAUGAGUCAUUUUCCAAUGUAACAAAAAAUCCCCAUCUUCUCCACUCCUGGGGGGAAGCCAGAAUGUCUCGGAACCAGAGGAGCAGCCCCAGGGGCACCUUCUCCUCACCCUGCAACCAAGAAGUGCCGCCCAGCAGCAAAAUUCCAUUAUUUAGCCACUUUGGAGAGGCAAAGACACUUUUAAUAUACAAUUGCACCCUGGAAACAUAAAGGCAGCACAUUAAAUAACAAAGCAAUUGACUGCUGGGUCCCUUUGCUGGGCCACCGAAAGCUGGGGCUCACUGGCUAAUUAUUGCUGGGGUCCCUGUGCCUCUCCAAACAUACCGAUGCUUUCAGAAACCCACUCCAGCUGUGCCUGACAUUUCACUCCUAUUAAAAUUCAUCGUUCUCCUGAAUGGAAAUAAUUUUUUUCUUCAGCAAACCCAGGUAGUAAUGAAAGUUUUAUUUAGUAAUGUA